rnacentral:rRNA from 1 species
AUUGAACGCUGGCGGCAGGCCUAACACAUGCAAGUCGAACGAGUGGCGGACGGGUGAGUAAUGUCUGGGAAACUGCCUGAUGGCGGGGGAUAACUACUGGAAACGGUAGCUAAUACCGCAUACCAUCAGCUGAGCCCAGAUGGGAUUAGCUAGUAGGUGGGGUAAAUGCUCACCUAGGCGACGAUCCCUAGCUGGUCUGAGAGGGUGACAAGCCACACUGGAACUGAGACACGGUCCAGACUCCUCCGGGAUGCAGCAGUGGGGAAUAUUGCACAAUGGGCGCAAGCCGGAUGCAGCCAUGCCGCGUGUGUGAAGAAGGCCUUCGGGUUGUAAAGCACUUUCAGCGGGGAGGCGUUACCCGCAGAAGAAGCACCGGCGAACUCCGUGCCAGCAGCCGCAGUAAUUC